rnacentral:tRNA from 1 species
UGCUGCAUUGGUCGGCGGAAGAAGACCGCGCGAUCGAGGCGCGCGUGGCAUCGAUCCUCGCCGACGUGAAGCAGC